rnacentral:rRNA from 1 species
AUUGAACGCUGGCAGCAUGCCUUACACAUGCAAGUCGAACGGUAACAGAUCUUCGGAUGCUGACGAGUGGCGAACGGGUGAGUAAUACAUCGGAACGUGCCCAGUAGUGGGGGAUAACUACUCGAAAGAGUGGCUAAUACCGCAUGAGAUCUACGGAUGAAAGCAGGGGAUCGCAAGACCUUGUGCUACUAGAGCGGCCGAUGGCAGAUUAGGUAGUUGGUGGGAUAAAAGCUUACCAAGCCGACGAUCUGUAGCUGGUCUGAGAGGACGACAAGCCACACUGGGACUGGAACACGGCCCAGACUCCUACGGGAGGCAGCAGUGGGGAAUUUUGGACAAUGGGCGCAAGCCUGAUCCAGCAAUGCCGCGUGCAGGAUGAAGGCCUUCGGGUUGUAAACUGCUUUUGUACGGAACGAAAAGCCCUGGGUUAAUACCCUGGGGUCAUGACGGUACCGUAAGAAUAAGCACCGGCUAACUACGUGCCAGCAGCCGCCGUAACAC